GGGGUCGUAGCUCAGCUGGGAGAGCGCAUGACUGGCAGUCAUGAGGUCAGGGGUUCGAUCCCCCUCGACUCCACCA
rnacentral:tRNA from 4 species